AUUGAACGCUGGCGGAAUGCUUUACACAUGCAAGUCGAACGGCAGCACGGACUUCGGUCUGGUGGCGAGUGGCGAACGGGUGAGUAAUGUAUCGGAACGUGCCCAGUCGUGGGGGAUAACGUAGUGAAAAUUACGCUAAUACCGCAUACGAUCUAUGGAUGAAAGCGGGGGAUCGCAAGACCUCGCGCGAUUGGAGCGGCCGAUAUCAGAUUAGGUAGUUGGUGGGGUAAAGGCCCACCAAGCCAACGAUCUGUAGCAGGUCUGAGAGGACGACCAGCAAGACGGGAACUGAGACGCGGUCCAGACUCCUACGGGAGGCAGCAGUGGGGAAUUUUGGACAAUGGGCGAAAGCCUGAUCCAGCCAUUCCGCGUGCAGGAUGAGGGCCCUCGGGUUGUAAACUGCUUUUGUACAGAACGGAAAGGUUUCUACUAAUACUAGGAGCUCAUGACGGUACUGUAAGAAUAAGCACCGGCUAACUACGUGCCAGCCGCCGCCGUAA
rnacentral:rRNA from 1 species